AGCUAACCAGGAUUUUCGCCCCUUCCCAAAUGUUCUCCAACAGAAAGUUCCCAGAUGGAUAUGCCGAGCAAAUGAGAAGCAAUCCAUCUGGUGGAGUCAGGUUACCAGUUGCUAUGACAUCCUCCAGAACUACAGGGAUGGCCGGCCUUCACCCUGGUGAAUGCAUGUACGGCCCAAACACUGGUAGUGGUAACCGUAUCCAGUACCGUUCUCCUAAUAGAGAUAUUAACACCCUGGUGAAUGCAUGUACGGCCCAAACACUGGUAGUGGUAACCGUAUCCAGUACCGUUCUCCUAAUGAAGAGAUAUUAACACCCUGGUGAAUGCAUGUACGGCCCAAACACUAACGGUAACCGUAUCCAGUACCGUUCUCCCAAUGAAGACGUUUAUUCACUUCUUCGUCGUGGAAGACUGAGUGCAGGGAACCUCUUUGGCCAGGCAGGUCCCUAUCACCAGGCUAACGUCAGCCUUCAACCAGGUGGCCCCCACUACAGCACCGACUUAGAAUUUCCGCCCCUCAGUGCGAUCGGGCCGAGGACACAGAAGGUUUCAGGCACAAUAGAGCUGUCCUGUGGCUCAGUCUUCUUCUCCUGCCAGACCAUAAAUCACCAAAUGUCCCAAGGCGUGCCAGCACAGCUUGGCCUUUUGUAAAGGGACAUAUUAAAUCUGCCCUGGAAUUUCGCUGUGUUGCAGGCUUUAACGGGGGCCUUCCAGGUUACACAUCUUGAUGCCUUGUCACAACAAACUAGUCGAGCCAUCCCUAACCUCCAAUCAAAAGUUGAGUGGAGGCCCAAAACUCUUCCAUCAAAAGUCCAUUUACGUCAGGCCUGACCAGGCCAGUUUGAGGGAGGAAACCAGUCUUGGUCGUCACGUUAUCUGGUGCGUUGCUACUGAAGAUAUUUCCCCGAUGCCCCUUCAUCUCAGCUGACACCCCCACCAUGUCCACUAGUCCUGCUGUCAUCACUGAGACCCUCAUCCUGUCCAGUGGAUCCUCUGCUAUCUCCAGUGUGUCCCAUGGUCCCCAACCUUCUGGCUAUAUUUCAUCCAGCACAUCCUACAGAUCUUACGGGCUGAGACUGAAUGAUGUAAGAGGCAGUUUCACAGGCAGCCAGCUUAAUCAGUCUCGAUGGUCACAAUGUUCACAUAACACUGGAGAGCUUUGGACUUGGCUCUCUGGUAGGUCCUCCAGCGGACCCGUGCACCUUCUUGGCUCUCUGGUAGGUCCUCCAGCGGACCCGUGCACCUUCUUGGCUCUCUGGUAGGUCCUCCAGCGGACCCGUGCACCUUCUGGAAGUUGAAAACCAUGUCUCUCCAGAAGAUAUUGUAGUUUUGGAUGUGUUUCCAGCUCUGGGUGUGUCUCCCGAGCCCAGCCUUGAGGUCAUCUGAUUUCCACUGGCUCGUACUCGUACUACCAGUUCAUGAACAAUACACUGACUUCAGAUCGGACAUGAAUUUUGCCAGACGCUUCAAUUCCCCCGGAUUGGAAGAGCAUGAGAUGUUAAAAUAACGGAGGGCUUGUAAAGCUUGUUGUGAUCAUUUAUUUUAUAUUAUAUUAUUUAUAAAUGCAAGGUGUAUUUUAGUUUGUUAUCCCACGGAGAAAAUCAAGCACUUGCUGUAAUAAUAUGAAAAAUAUACAGUAAAACAAAGUUUCUGAAGAUAUACCUCAAGCCAUGGCGUUGUGUUUCAGAUUUUAUAAUGUGAACUUUUUUAAGUGUGUUUAGUGUGACACAUUUUCCUUUUUAUUUAAAAACAUAAUUUGGUUAAGAAAAGGUCAUGGUAAGAGUUCAACAAAGAUCAUACAUGGCAGUCUCUCAAAUCUGAUUCAGGGAAGCUAGAUGUGUCCAAACUAAUGUCCAAGGCUAUGGGUC